rnacentral:rRNA from 1 species
AAUAGAUACCCGGGUAGUCCACGCCGUAAACGUUGGGCGCUAGGUGUGGGGCUCAUUCCACGAGUUCCGUGCCGCAGCUAACGCAUUAAGCGCCCCGCCUGGGGAGUACGGCCGCAAGGCUAAAACUCAAAGGAAUUGACGGGGGCCCGCACAAGCGGCGGAGCAUGCGGAUUAAUUCGAUGUAACGCGAAGAACCUUACCAGGGCUUGACAUAUACCGGAAACACCCAGAGAUGGGUGCCCCGCAAGGUCGGUAUACAGGUGGUGCAUGGUUGUCGUCAGCUCGUGUCGUGAGAUGUUGGGUUAAGUCCCGCAACGAGCGCAACCCUCGUUCUAUGUUGCCAGCACGUUAUGGUGGGGACUCAUAGAAGACUGCCGGGGUCAACUCGGAGGAAGGUGGGGAUGACGUCAAAUCAUCAUGCCCCUUAUGUCCUGGGCUUCACGCAUGCUACAAUGGCCAGUACAAAGGGCUGCGAUACCGCGAGGUGGAGCGAAUCCCAAAAAACUGGUCUCAGUUCGGAUUGGGGUCUGCAACUCGACCCC